rnacentral:rRNA from 1 species
UUUUAACACGAAGUGAGUGGCGAACGGGUGAGUAACACGUGGGUAACCUGCCCAGAAGUAGGGGAUAACACCUGGAAACAGGUGCUAAUACCGUAUAACAGAGAAAACCGCAUGGUUUUCUUUUGAAAGAUGGCUCUGCUAUCACUUUUGGAUGGACCCGCGGCGUAUUAGCUAGUUGGUGAGGUAAAGGCUCACCAAGGCAGUGAUACGUAGCCGACCUGAGAGGGUAAUCGGCCACAUUGGGACUGAGACACGGCCCAGACUCCUACGGGAGGCAGCAGUAGGGAAUCUUCCACAAUGGACGAAAGUCUGACCGAGCAACGCCGCGUGAGUGAAGAAGGGUUUCGGCUCGUAAAGCUCUGUUGUUAAAGAAGAACGUGGGUAAGAGUAACUGUUUACCCAGUGACGGUAUUUAACCAGAAAGCCACGGCUAACUACGUGCCAGCAGCCGCGGUAAUACGUAGGUGGCAAGCGUUAUCCGGAUUUAUUGGGCGUAAAGCGAGCGCAGGCGGUCUUUUAAGUCUAAUGUGAAAGCCUUCGGCUCAACCGAAGAAGUGCAUUGGAAACUGGGAGACUUGAGUGCAGAAGAGGACAGUGGAACUCCAUGUGUAGCGGUGAAAUGCGUAGAUAUAUGGAAGAACACCAGUGGCGAAGGCGGCUGUCUGGUCUGCAACUGACGCUGAGGCUCGAAAGCAUGGGUAGCGAA